AAGUCGUAACAAGGUUUCCGUAGGUGAACCUGCGGAAGGAUCAUUACCAAUUCGAACCCCUCUUGGCUUGUGCGGUGGGGGGAGGAGGAGUGCGGAAACGCGCGCCCUUUUUCUCACCGCGCAGACCAUUCAACCAACCUUUGAUUGUGAACCAAGGAAAACAUAAAAAAGUCUUCCCUCGCGCCUUUUGUGUGUGAGGGGAGCAAUUUUAUCCAACCCCACAACAAAAUCCAUCAUGCACACACACUCGUGUGUGUGUGUGUAAGGAGAAAAAAGCAAGCGUUGAGCUCCGAACAACAAAAAACAACAAAUGUCAUGUACAACUUUUAACGGCGGAUCUCUUGGCUCGU
rnacentral:misc_RNA from 1 species